rnacentral:lncRNA from 1 species
CUUAUGCUUCUGAAAAUUAAUCCUUGUUUCUUAUUUGGUACUUGUUUGAUUACUUUUGCUCCUCUUCAGUCUACCUUUAUGUUUGAUGCAUAGCAUUCUGCUGCUAGUGCUGUUACCGUGUUGCCAUUCCUUAUGUCUUUUUCAUGUUCAUGGAGUCUUUCUUUCACUGGCUGUACCCUAAAUGAAGCAUUAGAAAUAGUCAAAUUUUUAUUUUAGCAGGGCCUACAGUUAUUCUUCAGAUGUAGCAGUACUAAACUGAGAAAUUGAGUACAUUUACCACAUUGGAUAUCACCUUAGUUCCUAGAUAACAUACACCAUAAGAUAAGAGACAAGCAGCAAGGUAUGCUCUGCACCAAAAACCAGCAACAAACCCAGCAGAACACUUUUGUACCAAUACUGUAUCCUUUGAGAAGAGGCUGUUAUAAGAGAAGCAGUCCGUAGGUCCGGGAACAGGAUAGCUCCUAAGAGGUCACCAACUCUUAAUGCAUUGCAAAACAAGAAGGAUGUUAGAAAGUCAUUUGAGAGAUCUGGAGUUUAUAUGAUACCUCUCAAAUACCAACUGCAGAACAUAGAGGCUACCUACAUCAGCGUGACUACUAGGACACUGAACCAAAGACUCAACAAGCACAAGAAAGAUAUUAACAUGGGUAAGACAACCACAACUUUGGUGGAGCAGGCAUACACUAAUGACGUUGUUAUAGAUUGGGAUAAUGCAAGAGUAAUAAAGCCUAUCACUAAAUCAGCCCAAGUGAUCACGCACGAGACCCUACAGAUCCUAACCAGAAAAGCCAUGCG